ANCGGCGCACGGGUGAGUAACGCGUGGGCAAUCUGCCCAGCAGUGGGGGAUAACCUCUGGAAACGGAGGCUAAUACCGCAUACGCCCCUCGGGGGAAAGGCUUGCUGCUGCUGGAGGAGCCCGCGUCGGAUUAGGUAGUUGGUAGGGUAACGGCCUACCAAGGCGACGAUCAGUAGGGGGCGUGAGAGCGUGACCCCCCACACGGGUACUGAGACACGGACCCGACUCCUACGGGAGGCAGCAGUAAGGAAUAUUGGGCAAUGGAGGCAACUCUGACCCAGCCAUCCCGCGUGAAGGAUUAAGGCCCUAUGGGUUGUAAACUUCUUUUGCUUGGGAAGAAAUCAGGACAUUUAUGUGCUGUUGACGGUACCUUGCGAAUAAGCACCGGCUAACUCCGUGCCAGCAGCCGCGGUAAUACGGAGGGUGCAAGCGUUAUCCGGAAUCACUGGGUUUAAAGGGUGCGUAGGCGGUUCGAUAAGUCAGAGGUGAAAGCUAGCAGCUUAACUGUUAAAUUGCCUUUGAUACUGUUGGACUUGAAUCAGGUUGAGGUAGGCGGAAUGUGACAUGUAGCGGUGAAAUGCAUAGAUAUGUCAUAGAACACCAAUUGCGUAGGCAGCUUGCUGGGCUUGAAUUGACGCUGAGGCACGAAAGCGUGGGGAUCAAACAGGAUUAGAUACCCUGGUAGUCCACGCCCUAAACGAUG
rnacentral:rRNA from 1 species